rnacentral:rRNA from 1 species
GACUGCCAGUGAUAAACUGGAGGAAGGUGGGGAUGACGUCAAGUCAUCAUGGCCCUUACGAGUAGGGUUACACACGUGCUACAAUGGCGUAUACAAAGAGAAGCGACCUCGCGAGAGCAAGCGGACCUCAUAAAGUACGUUGUAGUCCGGAUUGGAGUCUGCAACUCGACUCCAUGAAGUCGGAAUCGCUAGUAAUCGUAGAUCAGAAUGCUACGGUGAAUACGUUCCCGGGCCUUGUACACACCGCCCGUCACACCAUGGGAGUGGGUUGCAAAAGAAGUAGGUAGCUU